GCCCCAAACUGGGGACUAAGCAAAUCUAUUUACUAGGAAUGCAGAAAUUUGAAGCCAUGACUCCAGACAAGUGCAUGAUUCUUGAUUCCUGAUGCAUGAUGGACGUGAUAUUGAAUCGGAUGAGCUGGCUGGAGUCAUGGCUUCAAANAUCCCAUACAAAGAGACUAGCAGGAGCCCCGAAUUGCAGAAUAAGCAAAUCUAUUUGCCAGNGUCUUUUUUGUCUAUUGGAGUGACAUCCAUGAUCCAUUCCAGCUGCAAACUUUCCAAGAAG
rnacentral:misc_RNA from 1 species